GAAAAUUUACUAAAAUGAAAGAAUGAAUCACCUAACUCAGCUAAGCAAUGUAGUUGUCUUUGACUGGAAGAAACAACAAUUUGCUAAAGAAUAGUUCCAUACAUCACAAUCCUAACAUUAAAACACAAAAGUUUUGGUAGUUGGAUUGCAAAAGUGUAAAACUCAUGAUACAUAGUUUGAGGGUCCAAAUGUACUUUCUCC